rnacentral:rRNA from 1 species
CGCAAGGCUAAAACUCAAAAGAAUUGACGGGGGCUCGCACAAGCGGUGGAGCAUGUGGCUUAAUUCGAUGCAACGCGAAAAACCUUACCGGGGCUUGACAUGAUAGAAGUAGGAACCUGAAAGGGGGACGAACGGUAUCCAGUCCGUAGCUAUUACAGGUGUUGCAUGGCUGUCGUCAGCUCGUGUCGUGAGACGUUGGGUUAAGUCCCCUAACGAGCGAAACCCUUGUUUUUAGUUACCAGCGGGUUAUGCCGGGUACUCUAGAAAGACUGCCGUCGUCAAGACGGAGGAAGGUGGGGAUGACGUCAAGUCAUCAUGGCCCUUAUGCCCCGGGCUGCACACGUGCUACAAUGGUCGGUACAGACGGAAGCGAAGCCGAGAGGUGAAGCGAAUCCUAAAAAGCCGAUCUCAGUUCGGAUUGGAGGCUGAAAUUCGCCUCCAUGAAGUUGGAAUCGCUAGUAAUCGCGGAUCAGCAAUGUCGCGGUGAAUAUGUUCCCGAGCCUUGUACACACCGCCCGUCAAGCCACCCAAGCAGGAUGCACCCGAAAACAUUAUAUCUAACCAGGGCAACUUGGAGGAAAAUGUUGAAGGAGUGUUUUGUGAGGAGGACUAAGUCGUAACAAGGUAGUCGUAGGAGAACCUGCGGCUG